GACAGAGGGUGCAAACGUUGUUCGGAAUUACUGGGCGUAAAGCGCGUGUAGGCGGCUUUGCAAGUCGGGCGUGAAAGCCCACGGCUCAACCGUGGAAGUGCACUCGAAACUGCAGAGCUAGAGUCCUGGAGAGGAAGAUGGAAUACUCGGUGUAGAGGUGAAAUUCGUAGAUAUCGAGUGGAACACCGGUGGCGAAGGCGGUCUUCUGGACAGUGACUGACGCUGAGACGCGAAAGCGUGGGGAGCAAACAGG
rnacentral:misc_RNA from 1 species